GGCUCAGAACGAACGCUGGCGGCGUGCUUCACCAUGCAAGUCGAACGAACCUUCGGGUUAGUGGCGGACGGGUGAGUAACGCGUGAGAAUCUGCCCUCAGGAGGGGGAUAACGGUUGGAAACGACCGCUAAUACCCCAUAUGCCGAGAGGUGAAAAGAAAUUCGCCUGAGGAUGAGCUCGCGUCUGAUUAGCUAGUUGGUGUGGUAAUGGCGCACCAAGGCUUCGAUCAGUAGCUGGUCUGAGAGGAUGAUCAGCCACACUGGGACUGAGACACGGCCCAGACUCCUACGGGAGGCAGCAGUGG
rnacentral:rRNA from 1 species